rfam:Aedes aegypti strain Liverpool supercont1.232 genomic scaffold, whole genome shotgun sequence.
CAAACGGCCCUUUUCAGAGCCACAAAAACAAUGAAAAAGUGUUAUU